rnacentral:rRNA from 1 species
AAUGAACGCUGGCGGCAGGCCUAACACAUGCAAGUCGAGCGAGCGGCGGACGGGUGAGUAAUGUAUGGGGACUGCCCGAUAGAGGGGGAUAACUACUGGAAACGGUAGCUAAUACCGCAUACUAUCGGAUAACCCAUAUGGGAUUAGCUAGUAGGUGAGGUAAUGGCUCACCUAGGCGACGAGCCCUAGCUGGUCUGAGAGGAUGAUCAGGCACACUGGGACUGGACCACGGCCCAGGCUGCUACGGAGGCAGCAGUGGGGGAGAUUGCAAAAUGGGCGACAGCCUGAUGCGGCGACGCCGCGAGGGGGAUGAAGGCUUACGGGUUGGAAACCUCUUUCGCUAGCGAACGGGUAGGUGGAGAAGAAGCGCCGGCUAACGACGUGCCAGCCGCCGCGGUAAUUC